rnacentral:lncRNA from 1 species
GCAAGUGUGAAAAUAAAAUAGGAAUAGUCCUGAAGUAGUUUCUUUGGAAACUAUUGCCAACUAAAACUUCCACUUCAAAUCCCAUUGAAACUUCUUGAUAUUUGCUUUGCAGUUUUCAAAAUGAAUAUGUAAAUAUUGCUCAACUCUACAACUUUUUUUUCUUCUUCUGAGAUUGCUUUUUUUUUUUUUUUUUCCUGAACAGAAUCUCAACAUGUAGCCCUGGCUAGCCUAAAUGAAACUUGCUAUGUAGACCAGGGUGGCCACAAACCCACGGAAAACCACCUGCUAUCUGCCUCUGCUGGGAUUAAAGGUGGACACUGCCGCAGACCCUCUUUGGUCCCUGUCUGUGUGGAAUGGGUCUCUGGUUGCAGGUGGACAAGGACUCGGCAGGAAUUGACAGACAGACUGGACACGAGGGAGUGUGGAUCUGAAUGUAAUUUGUCAAAUUGAGCAUCAAACUUUUUAUACAGAAGAAAAUAGGGAAGUUGGGUGACACAUCAGCAAGGUACAAAGAGGUUACUGGAUGCUUACACAAAACAGAGGAAUGCAAACACAGAAGGAUUGGCAGGAACCAACUGAGAUAAAAUUGAAUGUUAACAACUGGGAUCAAAAACAGCUCCAUCUAAGAUCCACUUAAUCUUAGAAGCCAGGAAGGCACGAAGAUAGUUCCUACUCCAAUCUAUUGUAUAGUCCACCUUUCCCCUAGGCCAUUGUAAAUUCCUGUGUAUGGGUAGAACUCAGCUAUCUAUAGUUCUAAGUAUCUACUCUGGUUCCUCUUUAGGUCACAAACUUCCUUCUUCCUAGAUAAUGGUAAAUUUCUGUGUAGAGCAGUGACUUAGCUAUACAUGCCCAAGGUCAGAUCAAGGACUGCCUAGAAUCUAACUUAGCUAUAUGUCAAAAUAUCAAUCCUUAUUAGCACUUGUAAUAAAGCAAUAUUAAGGGAAAGCACACAGAUUCAUUUACCAACUAAAGCAAGGACAUUGGAGCAUUCUUUAUACAGGAUGCCACAAUUCCAGGAGACUAAGUUUCCAUGAACUUUUUGCCUCGGGACAGCGCCCAGGUUUUUGGGGCCUGUUGUGCUUGUCACUACUGGAGUAGAUGU